rfam:Glarea lozoyensis ATCC 20868 chromosome Tnknown GLAREA6, whole genome shotgun sequence.
GGUGGUGUGGUGUAAUGGUAGCACGUGACGUUGUGGUUCUCCGUUCUCAGGAUUAUUCAUGCUGACCCGUUUCAAUCUGGGUUCGAUUCCCAGCACCGCCA